rnacentral:rRNA from 1 species
UACGGGGGGGUAAGCGUUGUUCGGAAUUACUGGGCGUAAAGGGCUCGUAGGCGGCCAACUAAGUCAGACGUGAAAUCCCUCAGCUUAACUGGGAACUGCGUCUGAUACUGGAUGGCUUGGAUCCGGGAGAGGGAUGCGGAAUUCCAGGUGUAGCGGUGAAAUGCGUAGAUAUCUGGAGGAACACCGGUGGCGAAGGCGGCAUCCUGGACCGGUAUUGACGCUGAGGAGCGAAGCGUGGGAGCAACGGG